UACUUCAUAAACACGGAACCUACGAAGC
rnacentral:sRNA from 1 species